GCAGGUGUAGUACAGCGGUUAGUAUGCGGCCUUGCCAAGGCUGAGACGGGAGUUCGAUUCUCCUCACUUGCUCCA
rnacentral:tRNA from 1 species